rnacentral:rRNA from 1 species
GAAGAAGGUGCAGAAUUGCACGUUGUCAUUUAUAAACUAAUUGUUAGAGUUCUUCGAUUUGUUGCAAAGCUUGAUGAUGGCAGCGAGCAUCAAGUUGCCCAAUAUGAUGUGGAGUUUGAGGUUAACAUGAAACGUUUUUCGGUUGAAAAAAUAAUAGAACUCAUUGGGUCCAAAGUUGUUUGGGGAGGACAAGAGGUCCAUAUUUUGUGCAAGGACAAGCAUUUUGAAUCAGUUGAGAGUAUUGAUAACUACUGGAAGUUGCUGACAUCAUUUCUUGAGAGAUGGGAAGAGAAAUAA